rnacentral:lncRNA from 1 species
CUGAGAUGACUUUUUGAUUGGCGAAGCAGUCAGGGCGGUCACGUGAGACAGGCCAAUCGCAUAUCGGGAUUCGGGGGCGGGGACGGGGCACGAGAGGAAUGGGGCGUUUUUUUUAGAGUGGGCCUGCGCACUAGGAAAGGAGAGGAGAGGAGGAGCAUACUGGAGGCGGAGAGUGUAAGGUCACACUACUCUAAAUUCAGCUCUGGGCCUGGGCUGGAGAUUGGGUUUGGGCAUGGGUCUGCACCUGACCAAGUUCAGCUAGGAUUUUUCUAGUACCAACUCGAAUGCAUUUUUUUUUUUGGAGACAGACACUUCCUAGCUGUGUGACCCUGUGCAAAUCACUUAAUCCUCAUUGCCUAGCCCUUACCACCAUUCUGUCUUGGAACCAAUACACAGUAAGGAGUCAAAGAUGGAAGCCUCUAAAAAAUAUUGUUUGCUAUGAUAUUGUUCUCCAGGAAGGGGAAGAGGAGUGCUAUUGGAAAAAAAAUACAGUGAUGUAAAUAUCAAGACAUAAUAAAAUUUUAUUUAAAUAAAUAUAUA